rnacentral:lncRNA from 1 species
CAACAAAACAUUACCAUAGUAGUGACCAACAAAACAUGACAUAGUAGUCACCAACAAAAAAAUACCAUAGCUGUAGUGACCUACAAAACAUGACAUAGUAGUGACCUAUGAAACAUGACAUAGUAGUAACCAACAAAACAUGACCAAAGUAGUGACCAACCAAACAUUACCAUAGUAAUGACCAACAAAACAUGACAUAGUAGUGACCAAC